GUUUUGUUUUGCAGAGGGAGUAUGUGUACUCUAUAAUGGCAAGUUUUGGGUCCAAAGUUCAAGUCAGAACAGGAGAAAAGGUACUUUUUGCUUGAUAAUAUUCUCAGAAAACUUAAAAUGCAGUGUUGACCUCAUGACUACAAUCCCUUCCCUCCUUAGCUUCCAGCUAUAUAUAUUAAAAGUGGUCAAACCAGUGCGACAAGAACUUUGCAGAAUGUCAAAAGCAAUGAACAAAAGUCCAGUGAUCAAUGGCAAGAAUCAACAGAAGCUGUUGAGCUUUAAAAAUCGAAACCUACAAGAAUGAGAGAAAUUUUAGCAAACAUCCCAAGCUUCAGCUUUUUCAAGAUAUGUUUACAAAUUUAGUUAAGGACAGACUUACCUGCAGGUCAGUAUAUGAAGCACAUUCAUAACCAAGAAGGAGGGCCACUCUUUCUUGCCUUCCAUGAAGAAGCAAGAUGCAUGGAUAAUAU
rnacentral:lncRNA from 12 species